UUUAGAGUUAUAACAGUUGUUGCAAAGAAAAUAUAACAUUUUGGAAUAAGUUUUUAGGGUUAAGUGGUUGCAUGUGCAUGCAUUAUUUGACACGCUUCGUUGUUUCAAAGGAAUAAGACGCGAGCUAUCGAUUAAGGGGCAAAAACUCAAAAAUAUUGUUUGAAAGUCUGUAGAAGAUUCAUUCGGGUUGACAAACGGACUCGAAAUAUUGCUCGGUUUUCGACCGACUGUGAGUUAACGGCUGGACAGAUUUUUUUAAUGUGAACUUUUUUUGAAAGGUUGUCCAAUUGCCCAUAGGAGGAUAAAUGGAUGCUUUUGAUUAAAGCUACUUUUGACAUUUUUGCGGCCCGCGAAGACAGGUCUAUGAUACAUUCUAGUUAAUGACCUUGUUAUGAUUCCAAUAUCAGAGGGUGGGGAUUUUUUUUCACGGCUCUUUGUCAAAUUUUUUUCUCAUUAAACAUGAUUUUAUGUAUUUAUUUGAAUAUAUUGGGCUCUUAAAAAAAAUAAAUAACAAAAAAAUACUAUCCAGGGUACGUUACUUCCACCUGUGAUGACCUGUAUAUAAACUCUGACAUUCACACACUAACCGCGAAUUGACCCGAUACCUCGCGGGUUGAAAUGCAAUGCAUUAAAGUGAGGCCUCGCUUCCACUGCUCUUUAUACUUUUGCAUGUUAACAUGUUGACAGGAAUAUGAAAGUAAGUACUAAAUAUGAGAAUAUAGCCUCUAAGUAUAAACGCUUUUGCGCUGGUAAUUCUCUGAAAAUAAAAGGUGCACGCACAAACUGUAUUAAUGUCGAGAAUUGAGUGUUAAACUGUUCUAUCUAUUAAGCCUUUUCAUUAGAGAUAAAAUUGUUUCAUGCAGUAAAACAGUUUUACAAAGAGGCGGAUAUGUUUCCAAUGUUCUGGUGGUAUACUCAAAUCAGCCAAUGGAAUAAAGGAAGUGUAUUCAUUCGUACCUAGCCGCGGGAAAUUUUAUUUGAAUUUUAUUGGACACUUACAAAGGUCAGGUAAGGUGAAAAGCUGGCUUAAUACAGCUUAUGCCGAACAAAAUAAGACACGAUGAAAUAGCAUGUUCGAGCGUGACAACAACAACAAAUACAUUGGUAUUCACAAGUGAAAUAGAAUUGAUUCAUAUAUUUGUUACAGCGACCUGGCGGGUUUGUGACUAAAUUCUGAUCUGGUUCAUAAAUAAAAAGGUUUGAUAGUUUGAAGUCAUGCACAAACUGUAUCAGUCUUUUUUACUAUAACCACGAGAAGUUACCGAGCGAAAUCGAAUUGGGAGAACAAGAGAGAUCAAAAGACCACACGCGCGAUAACAAUCCCGAGGGCUCUAUAUUGUAGCAUGCAUUUUUGUACCUUGUAUAAAAAGGAACUUAUUAACAGACUCGCUAUAAAUUAUCCAAUCGUUAACUUCUACAUUUCAACAGGAUUAACUGUAACCUAUGCUAUAUGUUCUACUGCUUAUUUAGGUGCGCUUGAUUUCUCUGCAGCAAGCUUAUGAGAUUUCCUCAUUAACUGAGCUUAUUCGUGCAGGCAAGAUUUAAUAAGUAACACGUUCGUCCCUUACUAUUUACCGAACCAUACAUAGAAAACGACAUUUGGUACAGUAAAAAUGGUAUAAAAAACUUCGAGGAAACCAACCUACACUGUUAAGCUUGCAAGACUAGUCGAUUGUGCAUGCAAACUUGAACUCCGUGAUUUCAACAUAUCAUGGUAUUUCUUAGCAUGAAGGGAGUGUUCUUUCUGUUGGUUAUCACAUGUAUCGUUGUGGAAGCAGGAAAGCGGCGCAAACUACCGCCGCCGACAACGACGACAAGGCAAACAACUAGACCUAACCUGGCAACGACGCCGACGCCGCCAAGAGAAGGUAGCUACGAGCACGAACAGUUGACGGAAAACAUAGAAAAACAACUCAAGGAGAUGAACUCAACUUUGGACGCCAUCUACACGCUUUCGAAUGAGAUGUUUAAAAUUCGGAACGCGUGUCUGGAUGAGUACAAGACGACAGGAUAAGGUUUCGAUUGGGCUGUUCCUGUCAAAAUGCCCUCUAUUGGCUGUGUUUUGUUGAUAUAUUUUUUAAAUUAUUUUCUGGUUCAAUAAUUUCAAAAAUUUAUACAUUCUUCUUUUUUAUUAUUAAUAAAUAUUACGAAUUAAUUUUUCAAAUAAACAUAUUUGCAGUAAAUGUUUAAAAACAAUCAUCAUCGAAGAAAUAUUUGUUAAAUUCUCUGAAUUAUUUUUGUCAU